UCUACCCAGCACGCGGAAAAAAAAGAAGAACUCACGAAAGAAAAAAAAAAAACUCGUCCGCUGCACAUAUACCACUGAUAUUACCGGGAGAUCCCUUCCUUCAGGUCGACCCGCUGCACUUAUCUGUCCUUCUCUUUAUUGCGUCUCCUUUGAGGAACAACAUUUGCAGUGCCGGUAAUCCACGUUCAAACUCGUAAUUUGACCGAGGUUCGGAAGAGCCAUCGCAGAAUGAGUGAGAGACACACAGGUUAUCCGGAUCCAAGACAGGAAAGAAAAACCAGCCCGUUCUAGAAGUUGUCAACCAACGUAGUCAGAUCGGACUGUUUUGGAGAGAGAUGACCGGUGCGUAUUCCCGGUAACGCACCGCUUGGCCACAGCGUCGUCUCGGGUCUGUGCGACGCCAAGAAUCAGACUGCAGACUGCCUCUCUCUCUCUCUCUCUCUCUCUCUCUCUCUCUCUCCCCCUCUCUCUCACUCCCCCUCCACCGCGGCCCUCUCCCCCACCACUUCACAUUUAUGAGUUAAAGGACAUUAACCGACUUAUUGAGUCAUAAACUAAUAUGGUCCAUUAGAUGAAUAUCUCUCGGUGAUAAUUAAAACAAUAUGCUAAUAUACUAAUAAUAACAAUACAAUUCUAACCAGUAAUUCUACCAAUUCACUAAGGUAAAAUCGAGGGGUCCACAACGAGGCCAUUGUCUCCAUCCAUUAAGUCCAAUCAUGGGCCCGCCCGGUGGUUUAACAUGGAUGUCCACUUUCUGCUCACCAGACGUGAAAUUGAUGCUUAACAGGCUGGAACCCUGGACCGUAAAUUUGAAUGUCAUUUCCACUUCUCCAUAUGAGGGUGUAAUUAGUUUUUCGCAAUGCGCCGUCCGUGGAAACAAUCGCGAUAAUGAAAUGCGCGUCGGCCUUCGACCCUGUUUUUAAGAUGGGGGGGGGUCAUAAAAAGUGUUACCGCAGCAUUCAAUUAAAUUGUGCCAACCCUGGUGUGCGCCUGCAGCUCAUGGUCAGGUUGUUUAGCAUUCUGUAGACUAAUAUGACACCUAUUAUCAGUCUGUUAAUGCCGCUGGUCUAUUUAUGCUCACGCACACGCAUUCUGCUGCGCGUGAGUUUGUUCUCCGAUAGCCAAUGCUGCGUAAUUGGUUUGUCCAGUUUAUUGUCAAAUUGAAAGAUUAUCCAAUUUGAAAAAUUAAAGAUAAUUCGGGAAGGUCCAAAGCCGCAAAAAGAAAAUGGUCGCCUUCUCGAUAAACCAAUAAACUGGUUUGAAGGGCUAAAUUGAAUAAAUAAUCAAAUCACAUGACAAAUUAAUUAUAGGGGCGAAUGUUACAGGCCAUAUCCAUUAAUGGAAGUUGUUCAGUGAAACCCAGAACGUGUUAUUUAAAUACAAGUGUAUUGACCAUUUUGAAUGACUUUAUAGCAUGAAACGUUUACCAGCUUUGCCAAAUGCAUUUGUGAACAAAUAGUGUCGAGGUAUUAGCAAGUUGGGCUUUUUUGAAUUGUGUUCACUAUUUUUUGCCUUCCAUACAUUGAUCACCAAGACAAACGAGUUUAAAAAAAAACGCAACUUUUACUUUGAAGGGGAAACCUUGCGUUUUCCGGCUCUGCACUUCCCCGACUCUUCUUAGCGUGAAUUUAAGUAACAAUCCGAAGGUUUUUUGCAUUGCACGUGUUCUUACAAUAGAACACAAGUCAGUGCCUCUAAACUGACAUUCUAGAGUCCUUUCGGUGUGCCAUGGCAACCCGCCAAAUAAUGUUUCCUUACAAAAAGCUGGUUAGAAAUAAACCAUCGGCCGGCCGUAAAGAAAAGCUUGUGCGUGUGGACAACAACACGGAGACAACAUGAUGCCGUGGGGAAGGUCUCGCAUCGCGACAGCCACUCCAAAACACUUGGUGGGUGCGUUCGCGCCGUUUCCGCGCUCCACGUGGAUCCACGCUGACGUCCCGCGGGACAACUACGACCGCAUCUGCGAAAAAAUCUGGAGAGCAGCAAACGAGGCCGAGGAGGAGUUUGGCAGAGGAGCAAGUCCACCAGAGAGGCAGAGGGAUGAAGAGGGCAGGAGAGUAGACGACACACCAACUCAUCGGGCCAAGGAGCAGCAGAAGGAGGCAGAUGACUUUGGUCUGAGCACACGCUACGAGGAGGACGCGCAGCGGCACCACACAGCCUUCGCACUUCCUUGCCCCCGUCUCUCGGGCCACAGACCUCCCCCUGUGGCCGAGCCUGCACGGGAACUGAAGCCUGUGAUGGAAAAAGAGAUGAAACGAGCCAGGGAGGCGAGAGGGAACGCGGGUUUGUCACGUCGGGAGGAAGAAGCGGGAGACGGACAAACUAGCGUGUCAAAUGACGUUAAGGGGAUCAUUGUCCCGGAAUCCACCGGCAGAGAAAACAGCUCUGAACCUCAACCUCAACCUCCGGCGCCGGAUCCAGUCUGCUCUGCCACUGCGGACCGAACCCUGCGCCUGGAGGAUGAUGAAGAUCCUCAGCAUGCUGCAUGCGAAAGCAGAGAUGGCGAGAAUACAACUAGCAGUUGCGACAGUGAUUCCAGCGAUGAUGAUGAUGAUGAUGAUUUUGUAAGCCUACCUGGGGCGAGAAGUUAUGCCACAGAUAACAGUCGUGGUGAAUCAGAGAGUGAAAACGACAGUGACGGAGAGAUAAGUGAGAUGUUGCGCUCACUUGAAGGAGCAUGUUCCAACAGCGAGCAGGAUUCCCUGUGUUCUUUCACAGCGGAAGACUUUCCACUCCUAUCUGCCACAAAGGCUGGCAACCCACCACGUCCCACGGAGCCCCCAGCCUGGGGGAAGAUGAAGAGCCACUGGGAGAUUCCCCUUUCAGCCUGGCCAUGCGACUUCCCCGCUGCCACUUUGGCAAGCUGCGUGACCGGCCGUGCCCAUGCUCCGGUCCGAGGCAAAGCCGGAGCACCUGAGGCGAGCUCGCUGAGCAACGCACCAGCAGCCCCAGAGGAGCAGCCUUACAACCUGCUGGCUGACUUCCCAGCCCUGCAGCCCUCAAAGAAACCUUUAGCACUGGGUGUGUGGCGUGAUGGGAAUCCAGAGACCAAGGUUGCGGAGGGGAACAGAGGGCACGCUCGCACAAAAAUCCAAUGCCAAGGAAGAGGGGGUUCCUGUCGGAGGAAAAUUCAAAUUGUUCCCCUCGAGGUCCCCUCCGUCUGCACACGAGAUCAAAAAUCCGUAGGCAAUUCUCCCACCGUCAGCGGCGAGGAACUGAAGGCCAGCAACCAGCCGACUCCUAGAGCAGUUUGCAGCGUCAUAACACAGCCCUGUGGAUUUAGCGGCACUGAGUCGAUCCCUCGAGGGGGCGCGGCCCAAAGAAUUCCCUUGCUGGGUACAGAUGGCGUGGACACCAAUGCCAGGUCCUGGGCCAGCGUUGCCAAGAUGGGCCUGGAGUAAGCAGCUGCCCCCCCGGAAGAAAGCCAGACCUUGUACCCUUCAGCAGAUAGUUACCGUUAACAUAGCCAAAGGCCGAGGGAACGAGGGCUGAACUCGGCCUCAUGUGGCGUCAGCGUCAAUUGUGUUUGUGCAAGACACUACCCGAUAACGACGUCUCGCUAGACUUUGUUAUUUCCCCCUGUUACCAGCCUAACAAAUGUGUGCAUCGCCCGAGUGUUGUCAACUUUUUUUGCUUAAUCUACUGCUUCUACGGGACUGAACCAGUGAGAGAUUCAUCAAGUGAGGCGGAGGCAAAGGACACAGCGGACACCAGUCGGUGCUUGAGCUCAUUAGUGAGCGUAUGCAUGCUCUGCACACACACACACACACAAGUGAGGUCCCAAAUAAAAAAUGCAAACUAUACGCACUUUGCAAAUGAAUAGAGUGAUGCGUAGUAAUAACAAAAUCUCAUUGUACUUUUGUGAUAGUGAAAUGGCGAUUAUUCAACAGUGCAGUCCUUUUUUUCGCCAGCGGACCUUCUCAUACAUAAUGCAUCCAAAUCAUUGCAUUUUUCCUCCAUUCGGGGCUACAAUGCAUAUUUCAUCAAGCCAGUGAAAUAUUAAGCACCCUUACGAUUUGAUAUUCUCUUCUAAAGGGGAUUUCAGUUCAUAUAUUUCCUUCACAUCACUCGUGUCUCCUCUGGGACCAAACUUCCGGGGGAUGUCUUUAUUUGGCUAUAUGUUUGUUCAUUGGAGAGACGUUUGAUUGGUUGAUGCUGGAGCGAUGAUCAAUGAGCCAACCAAUCAAUUCCAGAGAUUAUCAAGGCUCAGAGGCCAUUGAUCUAUAAGUGGGCCUAGCGCUGAAUGGCAGGUUGGCCUCACGCCAACUGAUUUGAUUGAAAUUAGAGAGUCUCAAACUGUGCAGCUUCUCUGCCUCAAAUGUCCACUGUUAUUUAGGUGGAGAGAUAUUGGAGAGACAGGUGAGUAAGGAGCAUCACCACAAGAAUGUGAAAGCAAAGGUCUGCUUUUUACCCUUGAAUGAAUCAAUUACAACUAAUUACUUGAGGAGUUUCACCGCUUUUAAUUUGUUGGUGCCGUAUUGUCACAAAAUUAUCUUGGGUUAUCUAAAAACUUUUUAUCUAAAUGUCAAAUCUAUAUAAAAGUUUCAGAGGAUGUUGGAUGGAUGGUGCAAUUGUGACAUUUGUGUUAAACACUUUUGUCAUUUAAGAAGAAAUCACCCUCAAGGCAACUGAACAAGUCAUGUUACUUUUAGAACUGUGCAGCAGAGAGAAGGGAUUUCAGGGAUCCUGCCUACCGCAAUGCUUACUUGCAAGUAAUAAGACUAUUUAACAUGGUAAAAGAAAUAGCAAAUUUUGGUUUUCCUACCUAGGGUUAGAUGAAAAAACUGACACCACUGUUAUGUUUGAAUUAAAAAAAUAACAAAUUCUUUUCACAUUUUGAAAUUAAUUUAUCUAGAUUAAUCAGGAUUAUUUUUUUCAAAUCUUAAUAAAUUAACAAGUAAUCGCUAGAAAAAGUGUGUUAUCGACAUGCCGUAAUUACGUUUAAUUGUGUUAUUUUAAACACAAAACUAGACACAUGUGAUCAUCUCUGAGGCCGGAUUUCAUCGGUGGAACAUGUUGAACUAGCGAGUCUUCCUGCUGUCCCCGACAAUGGUGGUCCUUUGCACCCACGUAGGGUAGGUGUUGAGAUGGAAGUAGCCUAGCAGCUAGCUUAGCCUAGCAGCUAGUUUAGGCUUGCAGCUAGCUUAGGCUUGCAGCUACCGACAUGUUCCUAAAGUGGUCCGUUUGCCACCUUCUGUUUGACACCUGGAAGAAAUUCGUCUGCACAGUUCUCCGCUGUAUGUCGCGGCUCUUAGUUUUACUUCCAAUGCAAAGUUCUCUCCAUCUUCAACUACAGUCUAGGUCUCUCCGAUUAAACCUUAAUUGACUGCAGGCUCGCGGCGGUUUCUGGGGUCAAUGUACACAGGAAGUAAACAAAGUUGCGUUGACUGCGUUAAAAUAUUUUGUCAUUUAUCUUUAGUUCAUUUUAAGGUCGUUUAAAAAGUCCCCCCAAUCACAAACGCAGACUCGACUCAAACCGAGUGAAUGUUGAGACAAAUAGCUCCAAUUAAACAAUUUAAAUCUGCUGCUACAACAUUAGGCAUAUGCAAGUUUUUCCAUUGUAUCCAAUGCUCAAGUAUCAACACAUUUCGGUUUAAUUGUGAGUUUAAAAGUGUAUAUUUUUCAUUUUUUGUUAUCUUCCCCCAGGCGAGAGUCCGGCGACGGUUUUGUUUUCGUCUGUGGUUAAUCUCGCAUCCCGCUGCAGCAAACUGCACAAUGUUUUGGGGUUAUUUUAAGCUGUUGUGGUCGCGGGGUCUCACACCUUCUCUGAACCUAUUUUAUUGCCUGUGGAAUACGGCCAUUGACUCGCCUGUUUACUCCUCACUCACAACUCUGAACUGCUCCCCAACAGGUAGGGGCCACUGGUGAUAACGCAGCUGAGUGCACCUCUGAUCCCGAGGCGUCGCCCUGCGCCCGGACACAGUGGGGCGUCAACAGUCUGCACACAUUGUGUACGGCUAACAGCUAACCGAACCACCACUACACACACACACACACACACACACAGCUGACCACCUGUUGUCGUCCGCUGCCCCGCCGCCCCCUCUCUCUGAGUUUCAAGAACGCAUUUUUAACCAGCGGAACAAAUGUCUGACACGUUUCGUCGACCUCGUUGUGUCAAUUAAGCUGUAAACUAAUCUCCAUAAUAAAAUGUGUACUUUCGUAGCGAGCGCCUGACAAAUUGUGUUCCGUCUUGGCAAUAUCCAUUUCAUUAAGGUGAUACUGGUAUUUGAAUACAAACAAGGCUGCAGUUGUCUCACAACUCGGGUUGCCAGCGUGGCAGGUGUUCAAAUUGACGACGUCGGGCCAGCUGGAGCCGAUAUGAGUACCAACAAAAAACGGCGCGACUGGAGCAGUUUCACAAACUCUGCACGAGUCUGAACCGUUCCCUUUCUGGCGAUAUGCAAUAAAGAGGGUUAAGGGCGUUGGCACAUUUGUAUUAUUCUAAAAUAAAACCUAAUAUUACUCCUGCGGGAAUCACAGAACACGGAACCUGGAGGGAUGCUCCUUAUUAAAGGUGAUACUCAGAGCAUAUCCACAUAGAUUGAGGGAUUUCCUUCACACGCUAUGACGCUUUCAGCACUUUUUAUGUCAGAUUGCGACAGUGAUGCCGUUGGUUUUUCAAAAUGAACUUCAAACAUCUACUUAGUUGAGUAUUCUCUCGAGCGGGCUUGGAUGGACAGGAUACUACUACUACUACUACUAGAAUGCUACCCAAGUUCAUUAGGUCAAUCCAUUCCAAAUGCGGUGACUUCGGGUCAUUGUUUGCAACAAAUUCAGGACUUUGUUUCAAAAGAACGCUGUUAAAACUGAAAGUAUUCGAUCUCGUCGGUUUUUAGGUGUGUUUCUAGGUCGAGGAAAAGAAAGGCCUUGACGUCCACAAACUAUAUAAGCAAAGCACAGCAACACUCAAAUUAGAGGGAAUUAGAUUAGUAUGUUCUGCUUUAAAUGCUCAUAAUUUUAAAUGUUGCACAUUUAAGCCCAAGCCCGCCGAUAUUGUCCACCAAGCGUUUGUUUGAUGAAAUGCACCUUAUGUAUUUCUGUAAUUCAAGCACCUUGUUGACUUUUGAUAUCACAGCAGUUCUCUCUCUCUCUCUCUCUCUCUCUCUCUCUCUCUCUCUCUCAAGAGUGCUUUGCAUUCGGACGCCUAAUGAGCUAAUAUGCUAAUAAGCACGCAUGCAAGCUCUCAGCUAAUUUUCACUUUUGUUUCUGAUUACAUAUUGCGUAAUAAUCACUUAAAUUAUGCGUAAUGUAUGUUAAAUAUCAAGUCCUGCAUUAAACGCAAUCUAUUUUCAUCAAUUGAUCACAGCUAAUGCCAUUGUUCAUUGGUGUGGUUGAGUUGCGGCAAAUUGACUGAUUUGAUCGACAGAGACGCUGCGCUGGAGAAUCACAGCGACCACCAGACCACUUAGAAUUACACCGGCAAGCCGCUCAAAUCUUCUUCAGCUGAACAAAUUGCUUCGGACACUGACACAAGAACAAAUUAUUUCUCAAGGUCCAGAAAAAUAUUAAAACAGCUUUGAAGAAAUCUUAAUGAGUGCAAACUCUCAAUAGAGCAAGGACGCCCUUUAUGUUUUUGAAUAUCCAUGUAAAAUAUGAGGAAGAGUCACAGCUCUGCUUGACCAAAUGUUUCUAAGACGACGCACUGAGAAAACUGAGAUUCCGAAACGACAAAGAAGACAUGAAUACAACAGAAGAGAAAAGAAAGCAGUGUGCAGAAAUAUCUCACCAGGUCUUGUGUUUGUGUUAAAACUAAGUGAAAUACUAUAGAUUACCUAAUGAGGGCCUUAAAAAGCUUGGCACGUCCAGCACCAUCUCCGCUCCAUGCGCACGUGCUUGCUGAAGGCUUUUUGUGUAUGCAACCAUGCAACCAUAUGAAGGAAAAGUCAGCAUUACGGUGUCUCUGCCGGCCUCUCCCUAUCUUUCCUCAGUGGCAUUUGGGUAUUUGCUUUGCCGGUCCUGAGGUCUCACAAGCCUUGGAGACGUGAGAGAACCUUUGUACAUCAUAGCCUUCAGCGUCCUACCUUGCCGAGCAAGAGAAGGUAUAGGGAAGGACGGUGGGAGGGAGAAAGGGAGGACAGGGGGGGGAGACGAGGAAAGCGCAGAACAAGGGAGCAUAAAAAGCAUUCAAUUAAGACAUGAACUGGAGGGUUCAUUAAGCAUGAGCAAGCCGAUGAAAAUGACCAUCCAUCAAGAGAGAGUGCUGUGGCAGCGCUGAGAAGAGCGUGCAGGCAUCCGCCCAUUGGACAUACUCAAUUACUAUGGUGAGGAGAGAAAAAAUGCUCAUACUUGCCUGUUUGAAGAAGAAUGAAAACUAAUAGCACGCAGUAUAUAACUGGUGUAAACUGGAGUGAGUCAUAUAUUGAUUAUUCUAUAGACUUUGUGGCUUUCCUCCACUUAGUCUCACGUUGUGCCAUAAAAAAAGGGGUUUUAAGAGGGAGCAUUAAUUUUCCUGCUAAAAUCCAUUUUUUUCUUCAACUAAUUAAAAUGGUCCUACCAUUUGCUAUUUUACUGUACUACUUGUUGUCUACUUCAGCAGCAUCAUUGAGUGCUCCUGUGAGAUAAAGGGCUGAAUUUAAAUUUGCUUUGCUUCUACACAAAUGUCCAAAAUAAUCAGGGCGACUGCUCUUUCAAACAAGCCGUUACAUCAAGUUUUUAUAAAAAGAUACGCAUGUCCAAUGACCCUACGCACAUUGUGAAAUGAAGAUCGUUAAAAAACAUUUCCAAAUAAAUUAUAUCCUGUCAGAUUAGCAAUGACUUUUCAGGAGUUGUAGUUGUGAAGGUGUUAUAUGGAGAGAAAUCAAUGUGCGGCAAUAGGCCUUUUGAGACUCAUCCCCAAAAUCCCGUCCCACCCAUUUCCCCAGCACCAAAAGGCUCACACGUACACAUCUGAGGGACUGCGGUGCCUCAGUGUGGCCUUGCCCUCAAAAAACUCAAAGCUCUCACCCUUUUUAGCGGGUUCAGCUGUCACCGAAUGUGCUCUUAUUCCAACAACACACACCAGAUUCUUUCUUUUGAAAGUCUUUGUGCAAAGGGAUACAGCUCCUGGAUUUCUUUGUUUGUGGUUCGAUUGGGAAUGUGUGCUUUGGCCCUUUUUAAAUGAUCUUCCUUGAGAGCUUGGGAACCUGUAAAGCCCAAUGGUCACAGCAUCUGUUUGAGGCCAAAAUGGAUCUGUAUUCUGCACUUGGUGUGUCCUUGUACUAUGUGCAUGUGGAAAUAUGUGUCCCUGUGAAGAAAACGCCUGUUUGUAAAAACUCAUCCAUCGAGUGCUCUGAAAAUAAUUAAAAUACAUAUUUUGUAAGUGUCUUGAUUUUUUCUUCAUCCUGUCUGAAUCAAUCAUGCGGCUUUCAUCCAGACUAAAAAACCUGCACUCAUACUUAAUGGACACUGCAUUGAAAAGGACAAACACUCUAAACAUAAACUGCCUGAGUGUAGGUGAGAAAGUCAUUUUUGGAUGACGAUGGUGGACUAUGGAGCCCAAAGCUGCAUCAAGAGAUGCUAAAACAUUAGUUUCGGCACUUCUCACUGGAUCUAUUGAUAGUAAAACUUGGGAAAAUUAUCCCAAAAAUUAUUUUUUUUAAUAAUGUGACUAGAAUGGAGCCCAGCCAAGCGACAGUUUCAAGGGACACUUGUCAAAAGUAUUGCCCACUCGGCACCAUUUGCUCCUUUGAGCUUUCGAUUUAUUGGUCCAGUUAUUGAGUUGUUCCAGCCGUAUGAACUAGCUGUACACCGACUAAACUACACUGCAUGUUAUCGACUGGCCAACUUACUCAUAUAAAGUCACUUUGAUGCUUGCAUCUUCAUCCCUGGUCAAACACAGCUAUUUAUAUUAUGUUUCACUUUAUGUAUCACAAAAGGUUUAGGCAAUGCUUUCCACACAAUAAACAAUUAGCCCAUUAUUCUAGGAAUCAUGAACAUAAUUCAACAUGAUUCAUGUACAUCACAACAUUAAGUGCUUUUGCAGGACCUACAGUAGUUUGACCUAGAUCACAUUAAAUAUUUAAAGCCAAGGCAACAUGUUUGUGGUAGCGUUCCAUAGAUAACCAUGUUAAGCCCGGCCAAUA
ensembl:lncRNA